GACGAACGCUGGCGGCGUGCUUAACACAUGCAAGUCGAACGGAAAGGCCCUGCUUUUGCGGGGUGCUCGAGUGGCGAACGGGUGAGUAACACGUGAGUAACCUGCCCUUGACUUUGGGAUAACUUCAGGAAACUGGGGCUAAUACCGGAUAGGAGCUCCUGCUGCAUGGUGGGGGUUGGAAAGUUUCGGCGGUUGGGGAUGGACUCGCGGCUUAUCAGCUUGUUGGUGGGGUAGUGGCUUACCAAGGCUUUGACGGGUAGCCGGCCUGAGAGGGUGACCGGCCACAUUGGGACUGAGGUACGGCCCAGACUCCUACGGGAGGCAGCAGUGGGGAAUAUUGCACAAUGGGCGGAAGCCUGAUGCAGCAACGCCGCGUGCGGGAUGACGGCCUUCGGGUUGUAAACCGCUUUCGCCUGUGACGAAGCGUGAGUGACGGUAAUGGGUAAAGAAGCACCGGCUAACUACGUG
rnacentral:rRNA from 1 species